CCCCCCGCCCCAGACAAUGGUUCACGUUGAAGCCAGGGUGUUCGGGAAACGGGUGAAAACCCCGUACUGCCCCCGCAACGGUGAUCGCAACGCUCAUGCAGGUCGACCACGAUCGACAAGAUCGACACGGCCAGCCACUGCCUCCGGGAGGUCCUGUCAUUCAGGCCUCCCCCAAGGGAAGGAGGUGGGAAGGCGCAUGAGGGGGUGAGACUCCUGCCAUUGGAGUCCACCAGGCGUCAGUCCGGAGACCGGCCCUCGCUUCCACACUGGU
rnacentral:ncRNA from 2 species